rnacentral:rRNA from 1 species
AUUGAACGCUGGCGGCAGGCCUAACACAUGCAAGUCGAGCGGAUGAAGGGAGCUUGCUCCCUGAUUCAGCGGCGGACGGGUGAGUAAUGCCUAGGAAUCUGCCUGGUAGUGGGGGACAACGUUUCGAAAGGAACGCUAAUACCGCAUACGUCCUACGGGAGAAAGCAGGGGACCUUCGGGCCUUGCGCUAUCAGAUGAGCCUAGGUCGGAUUAGCUAGUUGGUGAGGUAAUGGCUCACCAAGGCGACGAUCCGUAACUGGUCUGAGAGGAUGAUCAGUCACACUGGAACUGAGACACGGUCCAGACUCCUACGGGAGGCAGCAGUGGGGAAUAUUGGACAAUGGGCGAAAGCCUGAUCCAGCCAUGCCGCGUGUGUGAAGAAGGUCUUCGGAUUGUAAAGCACUUUAAGUUGGGAGGAAGGGUUGCUGACUAAUACUCUGCAAUUUUGACGUUACCGACAGAAUAAGCACCGGCUAACUCUGUGCCAGCCGCCGCCGUAACAC